GCUGUGGCUCAGUGGUAGAGCAUCUGUUGGGCAUGCAGAAGAUCUCAAGUUCAAUCCUUGGUAAGAACA
rnacentral:tRNA from 1 species